rnacentral:rRNA from 1 species
UCGCUAGCUUUUCGGUCUAGCCUCGCGGUUAGCACUGCUUAGCUAGUGAUUUCCUUCUAGCAAACUACCGUGCUCUUAACUGGGUGUGGUAGGGAGCUAGGACUUUUACUUUGAAAAAAUUAGAGUGUUCAAAGCAGGCAUACGCUUGAAUACUUCAGCAUGGAAUAAUAAAAUAGGACUUUGGUUCUAUUUUGUUGGUUUCUAGGAUCAAAGUAAUGAUUAAUAGGGAUAGUUGGG